rnacentral:rRNA from 1 species
CAAUAGCGUAUAUUAAAGUUGUUGCAGUUAAAAAGCUCGUAGUUGGAUUUCAGAUGACUGGAAGCGGAGCUCGCAAGAGUGAAGCGGAAGGGAGUCAACUUCUCAGAGCCGGCAUGUGCGCUUAAUUGCGUGUGUGUUUGGACCUGGGACCUUUACUUUGAAAAAAUUAGAGUGUUCAAAGCAGGCCUUCGCUUGAAUACAUUAGCAUGGAAUAAUAGAAUAGGACUUUGGUUCUGUUUUGUUGGUUUCUAGGACCGAAGUAAUGAUUAAUAGGGAUAGUUGGGGGCAUUAGUAUUUAAUUGUCAGAGGUGAAAUUCUUGGAUUUAUGAAAGACUAACAUCUGCGAAAGCAUUUGCCAAGGAUGUUUUCAUUAA